rnacentral:lncRNA from 1 species
AGGGUAUUUAUAUGAGAAAAGGGGAGAUAAAAAAAAUCCAAACAAAAACAUGAAAGACCAUCAAGACACAUAUAAAGUAACAAGUCACUAACAAAAGCAAGCAUUUACAAGAAAAAAGGGGAUUAAACAAAGAUUUCCAUUAGGAAUAGCCAGUCCCAUAGCAAUGAAAAUAAAAGUAUCAUCUCAAAUUUGGAAAGAAAUUCUCUUUCUAGGUUUAGACAAAAUGACAUUAUUUCUUGCAUUACUAAAUGAAUGCAUAUUUUAAGCUACCAUUUGAUGAAAUUUCACUUAGGCUAUGGUUUGUGAAAUCAAGUGAGCACUAGCUACUUGUCAUCCAUCCAGUAAGUUUUCCAUACUGACAAAGCACACCAGAAUAAGUUUCACCAUUUGCCAAUUAGAUGACGAGGUAUAUUUUGUUUUGAGCAGAACGCUUCUAGUCAAAAUGACAAGGUGACAAAUAAUAAUUCAACCAGUCACCUUGGUACCAUCCUUAAUGUUAGCCAGGAAACCAUUAUCAACAAAACAUUUUGGAAAUGCAGAAUUUAUGGAGAAAAAGGUAAAAUCCCUUCGACCUUCAAUUGUAUAUCAUCUAUAAUUACUCUCUCCCUGUCAGAACCAAUUUCUCAUAGACCUUCCUCCUAGAGGCCUGAGAGCAUUCAUAUUUAUUUGGGUAAAAUACACUAAGCCCCCUUGUAGUUUUGGUUAUAGUCAUAAAGCCUCCUCAUUCUUUAGAAACUUGCAAAGAACUCCAUUGUGGUUUGGACUAAUUCAGGCAAUGAAUGGAAAUAGUCCAAUUUGACGGAAAAAUAUAAAAUUCCUAUAUUAACCGUAUUUUCAAACUAUACUAAAAGUCAAUUCAGGGUUUAAUUUUUUUUUUUUCAGGUCUAGAGGCUAAUCCCCCCAGGUUGGGCAAAGCUUUGCCCCAAAGAUACCCAACAACAGUAGCACGUGAGGGUCGAACCUGGGACCUUGCUGUAACUACAGAUGACCAGUACCAGCCGAGCUACCCACGGGGGGCAAUUCAGGGUUUAAUUAAGAUUUGAAAAACUUUUAAAAUUCCUAUAUUAACCCUAUUUUCAAACUAUACUAAAAGUCAAUUCAGGGUUUAAUUAAGAUUUUAAAAACUUUCUUAGUUCGUUUAAGAAGAAAGUAAAAUUCAGAGGUUCAUUUAAAAAAUUCUAAAAAUUUGUUGUCUUCUCCAAUGACGAUGAUGUUCAGAAUCCAUUGCCUUUGUCUUUGUUUUUUUUCCUUUUUUUUUUCUGUUUUCCUUUCCCUUCCAUUUUCUUUUCCUUUUCUUCCUUUCUUCAGCUAGCCUACAUCACCUUGCCACUUCUGUUCGUCACCAUCAUCACCGUCACUGUGGCUGCUGUGGUCACCACCUUCGUCGUCAUCUUCAGCACCACCGGGUCUCAGAUUUCAUCUAAAUUCAUAUAAUUUCAUGCCUUUUCAUGUGAAAUUGGUGACAAAUAAUCCUUACAUGGCUCCUAAGGAUCAUCCUAGUACCAAUAUCAUAAGAUCUGGUGGUGAUUUCAUGAAACAAAUAGAUUAAACCCAUUUUUAUUUUAAUCUUGUUCUACUACUUUUUGGCCACUUUCAGCCAAAUCGGAUACCAGAAUGAGAUAUAUGUAAUAAAUAGAGUUUGGGAUAAAAAUUUGGUGAAGUUUCAACAAUAAAUUGUAGCAACCAGCGGCAGUGGUAGAGGCGGUGGCGGCAACUAACGGUGGCACACCUCCAUCUCUACUUCUGGUUUGCUGCACCAGUAGGUGGAAGAGAAAGGAAAAAAAUAAAGAACAAAAAAAAAAAGAAAAGUAAGAUUAACAAAGGCCAGUGGUGACUUUGCUUCUGCUUUGCUGCUCCAGAUGGAAGGGGAGAAAGAUUGAAAAAAAAAAGAGGAGGAGAAGAAAAAAGACAAAAAAGAAGACUGAGGGAUAAAAGAAAAGAAAAUGAAAUGUAAAAUUGCCAAAUUAUCUUUGAUAUAUUGUUAUCACAGUCGCUUGUCAAGCUGGUAUAAUUCACUUCCAUCAAAUUGGAUGAUUUCUGUCUCUUUUUUCAAAUUAGUCCAAACUACAAGGGGGUUCUUUGGGAGUUCUUAAACAAUGAGGAG